GAUGAACGCUAGCUACAGGCUUAACACAUGCAAGUCGCGGGGCAGCAUGGGGGUUGCUUGCAAUCCCCGAUGGCGACCGGCGCACGGGUGAGUAACGCGUAUCCAACCUGCCCUUCACCACGGGAUAACCCGGCGAAAGUCGGACUAAUACCGUAUGUUGUCCAUUGACGGCAUCCGAUUUGGACGAAAGGCUUGGCGGUGAGGGAUGGGGAUGCGUCCGAUUAGCCAGACGGCGGGGUAACGGCCCACCGUGGCUACGAUCGGUAGGGGUUCUGAGAGGAAGGUCCCCCACACUGGAACUGAGACACGGACCAGACUCCUACGGGAGGCAGCAGUGAGGAAUAUUGGUCAAUGGGCGUAAGCCUGAACCAGCCAAGUAGCGUGCAGGAUGACGGCCCUAUGGGUUGUAAACUGCUUUUAUGCGGGGAUAAAGUGGCCCACGUGUGGGCUUUUGCAGGUACCGCAUGAAUAAGGACCGGCUAAUUCCGUG
rnacentral:rRNA from 1 species